AUACGGAGGGAGCAAGCGUUAUUCGGAAUCACUGGGCGUAAGGGACGCGUAGGCGGGUUUGUAAGUCAGGUGUGAAAUCCUACAGCUCAACUGUAGAACUGCACUUGAAACUACAGACCUAGAGUAUGGAAGGGGCAGAUGGAAUUAGUGGUGUAGGGGUAAAAUCCGUAGAUAUCACUAGGAAUACCGAAAGCGAAGGCGAUCUGCUGGGACAUUACUGACGCUGAGGCGUGAAAGCGUCGGGAGCAAACAGGAUUAGAAACCCUAGUAGUCC
rnacentral:rRNA from 1 species